UACGUAGGUGGCAAGCGUUGUCCGGAUUUACUUGGGCGUAAGAGCGCGCAGCGGCGGUUCUAAGUCGCGUGUGAAAGCCCCCGGCUCAACUGGGGAGGGUCACGCGAUACUGAUCGACUCGAAGGCAGGAGAGGGAAGUGGAAUUCCCGGUGUAGUGGUGAAAUGCGUAGAUAUCGGGAGGAACACCAGUGGCGAAGGCGACUUCCUGGCCUGUUCUUGACGCUGAGGCGCGAAAGCUAGGGGAGCAAACGGG
rnacentral:rRNA from 1 species